rnacentral:rRNA from 1 species
AGAGAGAGACAUGCGCGCAUAUCAAUAAGCGGAGGAAAAGAAACUAACAAGGAUUCCCUUAGUAACGGCGAGUGAAGCAGGAAGAGCUCAAAUUUGAAAUCUUCAAGGUUUUACCUUGACGAAUUGUAGUUUAAAGAAGUGUUUUCUGCUGAAGUUUUGGUAAAAGUUCUUUGGAAUAGGACAUCAUAGAGGGUGAGAAUCCCGUAUUUGACCAUUAUUUUCAGCUUUGUGAUACACUUUCAAAGAGUCGGAUUGUUUGGGAAUGCAGUCCAAAAUGGGUGGUAAAUUUCAUCUAAAGCUAAAUAUUGGCGAGAGACCGAUAGCGAACAAGUACCGUGAGGGAAAGAUGAAAAGAACUUUGAAAAGAGAGUUAAACAGUACGUGAAAUUGUCAAAAGGGAAGCGUCUUGACACCAGUGUUGUUUUCUCGAAAAUCAAUUAAAAAUGGCUCGAUUCUGUAUUGCUUGAGACCUUAAAAGCUCACUGUACAUUUUUCGUGUCUUUUUUAAUGCACUUUUCGUUUAACAAGUCAACAUCAGUUUCUUUUGUUGUAAAAGGGUCAUUGGAAGGUGGCUUUCUUUUCGGAGAAAGUGUUUAUAGCCUUUGGCCUCUGCAAUCGGAGAGACUGAGGUCUGCAGCGUAGACUCUUCGGGGUUAGAUACAUUUGUGCUAAGUUAUAGCUUUUUAUAGACAACUUGUUGACUAUAAUUAGUCUUGUAGCUUACUCGCUUAUGCUAUUUUACCUACGCUUAGGAUGUUGAAGAUGUAGCACAUCAU